GGGGUUAUAGUUAAAAAUAACAUUCAACUUGCAAUUGAAAAGUACUAAAUAAGUUAAUCUCA
rnacentral:tRNA from 1 species